CAGCCGCCGCGGUAAUACGAAGGGGGCUAGCGUUGUUCGGAUUUACUGGGCGUAAAGGGUGCGUAGGCGGACUGAUAAGUCAGGGGUGAAAUCCCAAGGCUCAACCUUGGAACUGCCUUUGAUACUGUUAGUCUUGAGUUCGAGAGAGGUGAGUGGAACUGCGAGUGUAGAGGUGAAAUUCGUAGAUAUUCGCAAGAACACCAGUGGCGAAGGCGGCUCACUGGCUCGAAACUGACGCUGAGGCACGAAAGCGUGGGGAGCAAACAGGAUUAGAUACCCCAGUAGUCCCUGUCUCUUAUAC
rnacentral:rRNA from 1 species